AUGGGUUUCUUGCACCUGCAAACGACAGAGUGAUGAUGUUGUCAACGGUGUGGCUAAGGCAGAAGGUGUAACCAAAUAUGAUGCAGGUGAAGCUGCUGCAGAUCAGAAAGAGCAAAAAGGUUCAACAACCAUGAAAUCCUAGCUGAGGACGUGCGAGACUGGGAUAUAGCCAGUGACCGGGGGCAAGGGCAGCGUGCGCAGGGUGAUCGACGAGGACUACUGCGGCCCGAUGGGAGUUGUGCUCUUCAACUACUCAGAGGCAAACUUCACUGUGAAGCCUCGCGACCGUGUCAUACAGAUUAUUGUGCAGGUGAUUGCGACGCAGGAGGUCCCCGGGGUGGAGGACCUCGACGCCACCGUUCGGAGGUCACCGAGGUGGAGGACGACGCCACCGUCCGGAGUUCCUCAAGGUGGAGGACCUCGAUGCUUUGUACAUACAUCUAGAGAAGUGGUCUGGUUAGGUUGGUGGUGAAACGCUAGAGAAGGUACCAACCUUUUGAUGAUGGUUGUGUGUGUCCUCGUGAUCUCUUUGAGUUGAGAUGUUGAAUGUUGCAUCCAUGAACACUGCAAGUGUUAAGAUGGUUCUGUGAAAUUUAUUUUGCA